GAACUGCGAUAAGUAAUGUGAAUUGCUGAAUUCAGUGAAUCAUCGAGUCUUUGAACGCACCUUGCGCUCCUUGGUAUUCCUUGGAGCAUGCCUGUUUGAGUAUCAUGAAAUCUUCAAAGUAAAUCUUUUGUUAACUCAAUUGGUUUCUACUUUGGUAUUGGAGGUCUUUGCAGCUUCACACCUGCUCCUCUUUGUUCAUUAGCUGGAUCUCAGUGUUAUGCUUGGUUCCACUCGGCGUGAUAAGUUAUCUAUCGCUGAGGACACUGUAAAAGGUGGCCAAGGUAAAUGCAGAUGAACCGCUUCUAAUAGUCCAUUGACUUGGACAAUACUUUUAUGAUCUGAUCUCAAAUCAGGUAGGACUACCCGCUGAACUUAAGC
rnacentral:misc_RNA from 1 species